UACGUAGGACCCGAGCGUUAUCCGGAUUCACUGGGUGUAAAGGGUGUGUAGGCGGGCGUGCGCGUCCGGGGUGAGAGGUUCCGGCUCAACCGGAAACAUGCCUUGGAUACGGCAGGUCCUGGGUGCGGGAGAGGACGGUGGAAUUCCUGGUGAAUCGGUGAAAUGCGUAGAUAUCAGGAGGAACACCAGUGAGGAAGGCAGCCGUCUGGCCCGCAACCGACGCUGAAACACGAAAGCGUGGGGAUCAAACAGG
rnacentral:rRNA from 1 species